ACAGGUGGGGGUUGGGAUUCAUAAUGACUCAUUUAAAAGUAUCAUUCAGCUCUUUGAUAAACACUGUUGAGUCUGAAACUAGAGGUCAAGUUAUUCAACAACAUAUAUCAUCUUGCAUAUCAAUUACAUCUACUUCUAAGUUAGUUCAAAAGUGUUGAGAAUAUGGUAAACUUUCAGCAGUAGGUAGCUAUUUAUGUCCAAAUCAGAUGCUUGAAUUAUAGGAGCUAGCAGUCAAAGAAAUCAGUGUGAAAUAAAUGCUUUUUGAGAGUGGCGAAAAUGAGAUAAGAGUUGAAAAAUGUUUGCAUUUGGCAAUAAAACUAUGUUAAUAAGUUUAUUCCUUUUCCCAAUGGUAGAUGAAUAUAUGUGUCUUACAUCAUCAAAUAAAUUUGUGCUCUAUCCGUGGUAUGAGUGUGUGUGUGUAUGUAUAUAUAGAUAUACAUACACAGUUGGCCCUCCAUAUCCAUGGGUUCUGCAUCCACGGAUUCAACCAACCAUAAAUCAAAAAUAUUAGAGGAAAAAAACAGAUUUUUUCCUUGCCAUUAUUCUCUAAACAAUACUGUAAAACAACUCUUCACAUAGAAUUUACAUUGUAUUAGGUAUUAUAAGUAAUCUAGAGAUGAUUUAAAGUAUAUGAGAGGAUAUACAUAAGUUAUAUGCAAAUACUAUGCCAUUUUAUAUAAGUGACUUGAGCAUCUGUGGAUUUUGGUAUCCACGGGGUGUCCUGGAACCAAUCCCCUGCAAAUACUAAGGGAUGACUGUAUAUAAGGGAUGUGUAUAUAUAUAUAUAUAUGUAAGCUGUCAAGAUGAUAUAUAUAUAUACCACCUUUAAAGAUAUAAAGUACAUACAUAUUGUGCCUGAUUUUGUUGGACUGUCAGGAAAUGCUCUGCAAUUAUAUACUGUAGGGAGCCUUUGUUGCAGAAAGAACAAUUAUUUUCUGGAAUACAAAUUUUUGGCAUAAGAAAUUAUGAUUUUUUUCUAUCAAAUUUCAUAAAUUAUACCCUUUUUGGAUACACAAUAAAGAGAUAAUAUUAGAUAGGAUGGAAGAAGGAAUGAGGGCCCUUAAUGUAAAUUGCUCAAUAGCAAAAAGAACUUUUUGCUUGGGAAAAAAGCCAUCUGUAUUUUCAGAAUGAAGCAUAAAUCUCAUUUUUAAUGCUCUAGAUUUGUUGCAACAAGUAAAAACUACUUUAAUUUUCACAAAAGUACCAACUAGUGUCAGUGAAAAAUGAUUGCAAUUCAAGUCUAUGUAUGUAGCUAUCAUGGCAAAGUAAUUUUACAGAACAUAGUGUGUUUUUUUUACUUUGAAGACAUUGGUUUUAAGUUCUAUUUUUCUAGUGUACAGCAUAUUGGUUUAAAACAAACAAAAAGACUCUCAAGCAACAUUCCCAGUAAACCAAGUUGCAAUUAGCUUCCACUCCUGAGAAAUAUUCUAGUAUAUGUUGCUGGCAUUUGAAGAAUUUACACCUUCUGAGGAAACGCAGGAAAAUUCUGUCAAACAAUUAAACUGAUUGGAAUUUCUAAGAAUGUAAAAAACAAAAUGAGAAAAUGUUAGAAAAGAAUGGCAAAUAGCUUUGUAUACAGCUGUGAAUUAGCUUGGAAAAAGUAAAAGAUUUUUUGGACCUUGUAUAAACUUCUUUUUUUUCUUUAAAAGACUAUAAUCCCAAGUCAGGUAAAAAUCUUUAGUACUAAUUUUUUUUUUAAGUACCCAUGCUACAGUUGGAAAAUGUAAUUAAUUAAAUGAUCUCUAAGAUAGCAAAAGAAGGGAACACUUGGUAUUAAUAUUUUUUAAUAAAUGAAGUGGUUAUUAAAUCUGUGAAUUCUAUACAUUUGACAACCAAAUCGGUUAACAUAAAAUAUGGCUACGUUACUGUUAAAUAAUGUAGAAAAUAAUAAGAAGAGAACAAAUACUUAGAUCAAAGGUAAACUAGAAGAAAUUGGCAUUUAUAAGAUUAAAUUAGGAUCAACUCUAAUGACAUCGUUUGAAAGAAAAUUAUCCAGUGCAAGGAAAAGGUAAGGCCCUGCUUUGCUGUAUGUUGCCCUUCCAAGGUAAAUAUAUCUCAAGGAACCAUAAAAAAUUAGAAAAUCUUGGAAUCUCAAGGAUAUAAAAUAAACCUUUAGCUGCUAAAUGAAAGGUUGGCAGUUUGAAUCCACCCAGAGGUUCCUCAGAAGAAAGGAUGGUCAAUCUACUUCUGAAAGAUUAGUCAUUGAAAAACCCGUGGAGUACAGUCCUAAUGUGAAACACAAUGAGCCCCCAUGAAUCAGAACUGACUUGAUGGCAACUGGUUUGGUUUUUUUGUUCUCAUUUAAAAGACUAUGUGUUUGGUAGUCUUUAAGCAAGAGAAAAUACUAUGAGUUACAUGUUUCCUAUGCCAAAUAUUCUUAUGCCAACAUUCCCAAAUAUGGGUUCAUUUUGUUCACAUGCUCUAAUUUACAUAGAAAUUAUAAGCUCAUUAAAGUUAUGCUUCUCAAACUUUUCCACUAAUACACUCCUAAAGAAAGAAUAUAGAGCUCUGAAAGUCUGGGGAAGGGUCAGAGCUAAAGAUAUAGAUUUAGGAAUCUUCAGGAUUAGGUAGUAUUUAAAACAUGAGGUUGAAUUUUUGCCAUUAAAGGUGUAAUUUCCAUCACAUAUAUAAGAAAUGUCACACAGUCAUGAUCCUCACAAUCAACUUGCUUUAUUCAGUUUUUAAAUUUUACUGUAUCACAGUGAUUUUUUCCGUAUUUUAAAGACUUUUCCUUGGCGACUGAUGAUUGAGGCUCUUGAGCUUUGAAAUGAUGUCUACUCAAUGAGUUCAUUCUUUAUUAAUAAGGUGACAAAUGGAUGCCCAUUCACCCAAUCAGAUUUUGACCUUUUUCCAUGAAGAUAAGUAACAAUAUAAGCCUGAAUUCAAAAAGUCUGACUUAGUAAGUGUAUACCUUCCAGUUGAAAAAGUGUUCCAAGUCACUUCCUAUAAAUUAUAAAUUUGGUUAAAAGAUAAAAUAGCUUGACUUUCUUUUUUUUUUUUUUUUUAACAAUAUAUAUCAUUGUUCCUGCUUCAUUGAUCACACUGAGAAAAUUGAGAGGAAAAUAAACUCGAAACAAAAUCAUUCUCAGUGAAUGUGAUAGUGGCUGCCAGGGCAUAUAGGGAGCAUGUCAGCAAUCCUGCUGAUCUGCCUGUUUUAUAUAUAUAUAUGUAUCAAUAUCUUUAACAAAAUUUUCCAAAAUGAGGUGCAAAUUUUUGUUAAGAAAUUAUAAGCACUUCUCUGAUAAAAUAUUAAUCUUUGUUACAUAUUCUAUACCAACCACAAAUAUUUUUCUUAAAAUUUUAUUUCCUUUUAAUUUCACCAUAAAUAAAUGUCAAACCUGUGUAGACAUUUGUUUUACUUUCGAGAUGAUUGCCUUUGCAUUUUUGCUUUAAAAUAAAUUCCUUACACAUUAGAGAUAGUUAACUUUCACCUGUGUUGCUUAUUUUUGAAAGAAGUUCUUUUAAAAAAUGUAAUUGUAUAAUCCAUUGACAAUGUUUAAUUCCCUCAUAAUUUAUUUGCGUGUAUAGUGUAAAGUGACUCAAGUAGUCAAUCAUUCAAUCCACUUGGUGAAUAAUCAUCACUUCUAUAUGGUUUUAUGAUGAUCUUUUUUAUUGUUUAUUAUCUUCCUUUUUAAAAUAAGUAUAUUUCAGAGUUAUCAAUUCCAUUUCUUUGACAUUGCACCCAACAGUACUGUUUGCAUUAUUUUAACCAUAUAAUUUAUUAUAAUUACUAGAAGAGCAAAUUUUCUGGCCAGGUUUUCUUUUUCAAACACUUCUUAAUUUGCUCUAUUGUUUUCAGGCAGUUAGUGUCAUAUGAGGACAACUUGAUUUUGAUCAUGGCAAAUAAUCUGCUUUACCUCCCUGUUUAUAUCUUUUUCUUGAGAACUUUUUUUAAAAUCAUACUUAUUUUUUCAUUAAUUUGCCAGUCACAUUAAAAAUAUGUUUAAUGUAUACUUAAACAUUUUUUAACUCAAAAAGGUUAUUAUUACGAAUGUUCAUGUCUUUGAAGAUUGUUUCAGUUCUAUUUUUCAUCUUCAGUAAAUCUCACUUUACCAUAAAAUUGUUCUUCCCCAUUUUUCAUAUCUAUCAUUUUCAUCUCAAAAUUUCCCUCCAUCUUUUUCCUCUGUAUUCUUAGAAAUUGCAGAAUUUUCCAUCUCCAUUGUUGGUAUAAUUUUUUGCAGUGUUAAUUCUGCUCUUUUCUUUCUCUAAUAAAGAUUUUAAUUCUGUUGUUAUGUAUAGAGUUUCUCUGCAUCAUUUUCUUACCUUUGCCAGUCUUAUGUACAUCGAACUAUAUAAGCCCUUUUAAAAAAAAAUUGAAUCUUCCAUUUCUGGCCAUAUAAAUUCCAAGUCUUCUUUCAUUGAGAAGGUAAAACAAGUGCAUUCCUGGUAAAAAUUUACUAGAAAUUAACAUUUCUUACAAAAAUCAUGUUUUUCAUAGAUAUGCUCUUUCUUUGUACCCUUAAAGCACUGAUUUUUCUCUUGUAGUUUGCAGACUCUUUUUAUAGGACCCCAGUUUUUAUAUAUACUUCUAACAGUUUUUUUAAACCUUCAAACCUUCCAAACUGACAAAUUUCAAGCUGACAAACAUACUCUCUCGCCUAAAAUUGUUUUUGAAAGAUACACGUGUCAAAUGUUUUCUAUUCUAUGUUCCUCUAAUUGUUGUUGUUGUGUACCAUUGAGUUGAUUCCGAUGCAUAGCAACCCUAUAGGAUAUAGUAGAACUGCCCCAUAGUUUCCUAGGCUGAAAUCUUUAAGGAGCACAUCCAUAGGCCUUUUCUCCCACAGAGCAGCUGUUGAGUUCACCGACCUUUCAUUUAGCAGCCAAAUGCUUAUAUUGUACUACCAGGGCUCCUUUCUAAUUAUAAAAAGGUGCAUUUAUUCAUGAGAAUUUCAGAAUAGUUUGUUCUUCUUCUUUUACUCAAAUGUGGGCCUGUAUCUAUAUUUCUUUAGAAGAGUGAAUCAUUCCUUGUGUUCUUUUUAAUCUCUAGUCACUUCUAAACUUUUAAUCAGCAAGUAAAAUCUAUCAUUUUCUUGAGCUGGACUUACUGUCUUCCUAGAAGCUUAUGGUGGCAGGAGGAGAUGGGUGUGAAAGGGAUGUGAUUGGCCUUGGUGGCCCCAGAAAACAGUUCCCAUAAAGUAGACUGAUGGUUACAAGGGUUGGGAAGGAGCAGCGCAGGCCAAAACCUUUUAGAAAGGAGGAGUUAGUGGGGGAUUUCUUAACACUCAUCCUUUCUCUAGAUCUAGGAAUGUAUUAGCGUCUAAUCUUCAUCCAGGUGAUCUGUGAAGUAUUUAAGGGAUAAUUAUUACUAAUCGAGGCAAGCUCAUUGAUUGAUAUCCUCAUUUUCCAGUGCUAGUAGGACUUGAUUUCUUCUGUAUUUUCAUGAAUGUUUCAGUAGAAAAGUGUUAAUCAAGUAUGUACUUAACUACCAGGUUAGUCCAGAGUCUUCCUUUUAAUAGACUGUAUUUUAAAAUUUAAAUUUCAGCCAUAUUAAAUGGUAUUUUUUCUUGUUUUAGCCAUUGUGACAACAAAGUUUGACAGUGGAAAGAUAAUGAUGUCAAUAUAAAUUAUUUUUAUUUCAUGUGUUCAAGUACUUUGUCUAGAUUUUUAGCUGUGUAUCAUUUCAUUGUCUUUGUAUAUAUUUCUGAUAGUUUUUUAGUCAUUAAAAAUUAGGUUAAACAAAUUAUUUACACUGCCCUAUUCCAUAGUUUCCAUUUGAAAUAUUGCUACCCUGAUAUCUUUGUCUUUAAGUUUCUAAUAUCCAAAAAAUGAAAACAGGUUAAAACAAUUUCAGUAGGUAAAUGAUAAAAUGGGUUGAAAUAGUGCAGCAAACUUUUAUGUAAUACAUAUUUCUGGAUAAUUUUAGAAUGAUUUUUGGUAGUAAUUACUAAUAGCUGCUUUACUUUACAGUAUAAAAUGCUUGCCAUUACUCUAAUUCUUAAUAAAUUAUAAAAGGGUCACUUCUAAUUAAAUGAAAUGUAUUACAAAUAAAAAAUCAUGAUGCAUAUCCUUAAGCCAUAUAUUGUGUGAGAUUUUUAAAAGAUUAAGUUUUUCAAAAUAUGGGUUAAUAUUUUAUUUGUAGAUUUUUUUUAGUUUUAUAAAUUUUCUCAUCUAAUAUUAGGUAGUUUUAAAAUUACUUUUUAACUUCUUUUUUAAAAUUCUAGUAAUUUCCUAACAUUUCAUUUCUGUAAAAUUUCAUCCACUUAGCAAUUUACAAAAAACUAUUGCCACCAAAUCAAUUCUGACUCAUAGUGACCCUAUAUGACAGAGUAGAACUGCCCCACAGAGUUUCCAAGGGACAGCUGGUGGAUUUGAACUGUCAACCUUUUGACUAGUGGUCAUAGGUCUUAACCACUGCACCACCAGGCUCCACUUAGCAAUUUACUCUCCAGUUAUUGCUAACCUAUUCCCAGAUAGCUCGAAAGAACCUGGAAAAAAAUCUGGCUCAUAGUACAAAUUAUUUUUUAAUUAAUAAUUAAUUUCUAUACUUUUUCUUACAUUCCAACAAUUCUUACAUUACAUUGUUACUGAGAAACAACCUUUAAUAUAAAUGAAUGUUCCAGGAAACUAAAGCCUUACCAUUCAGUCACCAUCAAUUUUAUUGUGGUCGCUACUAACCACGAAUUUCAGAUUUUUAAGUAAAAUGGCCUACGCUCUUCUGUUACCUGUAUCAGUUAGAUGAACACUUUAUUAAGCAUUCUGCUGUUUUUUAAAUAAAUAGUAUAACAUAUAACUUUGCAACCUACAUGAAAAGUGACAAAUUUAUCUCUUUACUGUUUGUUAUCUGUGACCAAGCUAGUUGUUGAAGUCCUGACUAGCUUCAAAGUCCAGGAUUUUCGGAGUACAAAGCUGUCUUUUAUAACUAGUUUGUUUCCAUAGAGGAAAAAAAGAAUCCAAAGUACUACAUUAAUUUUCAUUGUUGCAUUAGAAGUAGCUUUUCUCUGGUCCUUCUCAUCUGUACUUCAUUAAGUCACAUUCUGUGUUAUAAUGUUUUGCAAAUUUGGAAAUGCAGAAACAGUUCAAGAAAUUGAUUCUAUUUGUUCUUUCUGUUCAACAGACCUUUGAUCUGAAAUGUUCGAUGGCGCCUGGCUGUUCCAUGCAAGCCACUUUUAAACCAUUGUUCGCAUUGUAAUAACCUUGUUAUCAGGUUGUAUGAAUUAAUUCCAUCACAUUAGGAGGAGGAAGUUUUGCUCACACAGCACAGCCUAAUAACCGUCUCGUGUUACUGGCCAGUUGAUUGGGUAAUAAGACGACACACCACGUUUAUAAUUCAACUGUUUUGCAAGGUGGUCUUAAUUUCAGAAUUUCAUGAUGACAGUAAUAAUUUUUUAUUUCCCCAGGACACCUUGCCCAACAGGCUCUGGGAACUAACAAAGUAUAACUAAAAAACGUCACAAAUUAAGCAGGCCACCACUUUUGGUAAAAUUCCUGAAUCAAGAAGAAAACACAAAGGAAACCCUUCUGCAUAAUGAAACCACCACCCAGACACAAAAGCAGAAACCACCCACAGACUAAAAGGCUGAAUCUCUAGGAGGGAAAAAAACAACUUGGGAGAAGGAUCAAACUUCUUCAAGCUGCUACUAUCAAACUCUGGGCAGAGAGUAGCUACUGAUUUCAACUGUUAGAAAGAGGGAGGAGAGCCCAGAGACCCCACAGUCUGACCACAUCGUCACUGAACUCUUGAGAUACAGUUGGCAAGGGAAAAUGUAAAGAAACAGGUGUUCAGUUGUCCAUACAUGAAACCUGGGACCAGGGCACAAGGAUGGCAACACAAAUAUAUACAAGGUACAGAAGGUGUUAACAUACAUGUGUGAAAUGGGCCAGGCACACCUGAGAAACUGGGAGCAUUUGCCCUGGUUACCAAGUACCACCCAGUGGUCAUCCAUACAGAAAAGAAGACUCAGUUUUGUCAGAAUUUUCAAAAACAAACAAACAUAAAUCUCAAUUUUAUAGUGACGUCUACCGGCGCCGUGGUUAAGAGCUUGGCUGCUAACCAAAAGAUCAACAGUUUGAAUCCACCAGCCACUCCUUGGAAACUCUAUGGGGCAGUUCUACUCUGCCCUAUAGGGUCGCUAUGAGUCGGAAUCAACUCAACAGCAAUGGAUUUUAUUAUAAAAAAUUUAACCCUGUGGAAGCAGCAGAAAGUUUGUAUAUGAGCAUGCCAUCCCAAGGGCUGCCAGUCGGAAAUGACUUGAUGGCAACAGUUUUUUUUUUUUUUUUUAUACAGACACUGAGCUAAAAGACCAUUGGAAAAAAUAUGAAAAAUGAAAGGAUAUAUAUAAGUAUAUAAGUAUAUAUAAGUACUCAUAGUUAUGAUAAUGAUAAUAGAACUAACAGAGUCAACCCAACAGACUGGAGCCAUUCCAAGACUUUGACCACUUAAAAUAGUGUUCUAGAUAAAUGGGCUAAAAGAAUUUCAUCAGGGAGGUGACCAACAUUAAGCUAGAACUUGUAAAUCUGAAAUUAAGAAUUACACAUUCCAAAUCAGUGGAGCAAAAUAAGACAAGUAACAAGGAUCUACAAAAAGUGGUCCUGACUCUUUCAAAAUAGGCUCAGGUUAUUUCUUUCCUUCAAGAUUCCCUGGGCAUAAAAAAGGCAAAUUUCUAACCUAAGAGUGAUUAAUUUCACUGAAUGUACAGUCCACAUGUCCCUAAUUCUUACUUUAUCCUUUUGUUUUUUUAGAGCUAAUGUACACUGAGUUUCAUUUAACAAAGUUAUUGUAAUAAACUUUUGGAAAAAAACAGUACAUACUUCUCAAAUUAGAUUUUCAAAGAUUGAUUCAGAGAUAUAUCAUGCUGAUGACAUAAAGCAAUCUUGUAAGAAGAUCUCUUAAAGGCAUCAAAAAAACACGUGCAGAUGAAAUUAAGCACAUAUAUAUUCAUCCGAUGGUUACUUAUGAAAAAAAUUUUAAAGUUGUUUCAAUACCUCUACACUUGGGACUUUUACUUGUAAACCCAAUACUAAUUGAGAAAAGGAAAGAACUGUGGGAACUUAAUUCAGCCAGUAUACUUUUCACUAUAUAUACAUUUUUCAAAAUUGCAAAGGGCAUUUUUAAAGCAUAAAGAAAAUGAAAAAAAUAUAAGCAUACAAAAAUCUGGUUAAGUUUUAUAAACACUUAAACUAUCAAUGGAAAAUCCAUAUAUAUAUAUAUAUAUAUAUAUAUAUAAAAUUAUAUGUAGCUAAAUAGCUGAAUAAAUCAAGUAGUUAAUUAUGAGCCAAAUAACUGAAUAAAUACCACCAAACUUGUAUUUUAUGCAUGUGUGCUUUAGUAAUAGUUUUUAUUUUCAAAUAACUACUUGGAUCCGGUGUAUAAUUGGUUUGAUUAGAAAUAUCUUUAAGGAUGAAAAUGUAAAAUACAUUGCAUCAAAUACUAUGGUGUAAUGGCUUUUAAAUUUUUUAGAGUUGCCAUUGACUUGUUUGCAUUCACUUUUUAAUUUAGAAAACACAAAAUUUUUGAGGAGAGUAUUCAUAUUUUUUUUAAUUGGGGAAAUAAAUUUCCAAUUUUAAUAUAGUAUCAGUUUAUUGUACUUCAAAUUUCCAAAGCUCAAGCAUUUCAAAACUCUGAAAGACUAUAUUUAGAGUGAAAUUUACAUAUUGCAUAGAGAUGGAAUCAGUCCAUGAAUAUAUGUUGGUAUCAUUCUUGCCAGUCCUAAUAAAAUUCUAUCUUUAGAGUGUUUGAGUAAGACUUUAGUUUUACGUGAAAACUGAAACAUCAAACCAUUAUAUACCCUUUAAAUGUAGAUAAAAUAAUUUUACUUCCACACAAUAUUUUUAAAUGUUGACUUCAGUAAAACUUAAAAAAUUUUCUGAGAUCUGAAAUGAAAAUUCAUGAUGCACAAAAUUAUGAAGGAAAAAAAUGUCUACUCCAAAUAUUCCAUAACUUUUUUGAACAAAAUCUCAGUGUUUUGAUUUAAUCUUUCUCAUUUACAUUUACAUUUGCCAAGUAUAUGUGAGUAUACAAAGUGCUUUCCCAUAUAAUGCAACAUUUAACCUAUACAAUAGUCUUUCGUGAAAGGUGAUCUUACUAUACUUUUAAUGCUUAAGAGUCUCCUGGAGGUAGACACAUCCUCAUCAUGACGUAACUAGAAAAAUGGUAGAACUAAAGUCUGAAGCCCAGGUUUCCUGACUCCAGUCCAGAGUGUUCUAAUAGACCAUGCAUGAUAUGUUGUGCCAACUUCUGAUUAGAUUUCUGUUUCCCACCACCAAUUUACCCACAUACAAUAUGUGAGGGCAAUGCAAAUGUGACCACUUAACAUUUUUGAAUUGCUCUUUUUAAUUUGACCAUUUAUUAGAUUUUACUGGAUUCCUAGCUUUAAGCAUAGAAAACUAGAAUGUGAAAUCAUGUUCUUGUGUGUGUGUGUGUCUGCAUGUGAGUACACAAACGCACACACACACGUAUACAUAUAACAAAUUUCUACAGAAGUAAAUGUAUUACUUCCUUUUAAUUUCUUUAAAAGGAACAUUGCUAUAGUUAUGAGAAGACUAUAGAAAAAAUGGGAAUCUCAACAACUGGGCAAGAAUCAAGGUUUUAGUAAAAUGGAAAUGGAUAGGCAAGGAAGACAUAAGUUUAUGUAUAGGGAUAGAUAGACAGGUAGAUAGGCAGGUAGGUAUAUAGAUAGAUACAGUCAGCUGUGUGGAACCCAGUCUAGACUGUAAAUGUAUAAUUCCUAUGGGUCUAAGUUCUAGAGGUGGAAUGGCUUGACCAGGUUUUAUGAGAAAGGAAUACUAAACUGAAUAAGUGUGUAAUUCUGUUACUUAAAUUGGCAUGAAUCUACUCCAUAUUACUACAGUUCCCUGGCCUUGUAUGUUUACAUGGACUAUUUUUGUCUAACGUUGAUAUAAAAUUUGCCGAGUAACAAUAUAAAUUAUAUUAGCCUCAGGAGGGAAGUCUGCUGUUGACUUCGAUGGAAAAUGUACCCACAAAGACAUUGGAAUAGAUUAGACUUAAUCUAAUUAUCUAGCCUUGGAGUUAUUUACAACAAGUGUUUUCUUCCUUUCUCAAAAUCCAUUUUGUCUUCUGCUUGAUUUAACUGUAGACUUGAAAUCGCAUUUUAUGACACCAGCCUGUCACCCUGAAAAUAACUGAUACCACAGAUGUGGCACUGAAAGUUCAAUUCAGAAACAAAGGGGAACCUAGGAUGGGCUCUCAUGGGCUUCUGAUCUUGUCUGAAGAAUUGUCUCUGGCUUCUGCCUUGUGGGUCUCUCUAAGGGAGGUUAACUUAACCACAGACUUAGCUCACUCCUCGGAGGCUACUUCUUCUGUGCCAAGUGGAGGAUGCUUAGUUCCCUGGUCCUUCAGAUUGACUUUCUGAUCUUUCAGACUUUGGGAGACUGUGUCAAAGUUAUUAUUGGAAAGAUUAUCUCCUCAAGUUCCUGGCAUUCCCUAAUAGCUCUAGGACCUUUGCGCACACUGUACGAAUGCUCUUUGCAUUUGAUGAGAGGCACAAAGAACCAGGCCCAGCACAAGCCCACAUGGGAUAAAGUGCCACGUGAUUCAAUAGUACAUACAUUUGCCUUGGAUGGUGACAGGUGUCACUUUGGUCCACAGGCCCUGGGGAUAGCGUCACUCAUAUGCUCAUACGUAUGCACACUCAAUUAAAUCUUGCGUGCAUCCUACACCUCCUAACUGCAGACCAACCAAAUUUCCUUUGGAGUCACGCACACAAUAUGCAGAAUGGUUAUGCAGGCAAAAUCCAUGGCAACAGCACAUACAGCUUGUUGAUUUUAUUUGAAAAAUAAGUUUACAUUUUUUUGGCUUUAACUUUUUAAAAGAUACGAUUUUUUAGAUUCAAUUCAAAUGUGAAAAAAAUAGUGCUGUACAAUUUUUGAGCAGUAUCUUAUCUUGGGCCUUUAUGAAUAACGCAAAGGCUAUUCAAUCUUCCCUUUAGAAAUCUUAGAGGUAUUUUUUUAUGCUGUGUACAUUUUAAUCCACAAGAAUAUUUUCUUCUCAUUCCCCUAGAUACCUUGGGACUUUUUUUUUUUCUUUGCAGAUACCUCAGAGGACUGUUUAAGAUCCUAUUCACUUCAUCCUCUCUUACCUUCACCUGAAGGGCAAAAUACCUAAAAUCUUGACACAAAUACUGAUAAAUAUAUGGAAUUAUUAAAGGUGCCAUCUCAGCAGAAGAAGAUUGCUGCUGCCUUUGUUCUUGGGGGAAUACAUACAUCACCUAGUAGCAAGACACCCAACUGCUACAGUCAGAAUUCUCUGAAAUGCCUUUAAGCUAAUCAUCUUUGAACAGAAGCCUUUGUUGUUGAAUAAGGGACCUUCUAGAUGCAAGGCACAGAAACCCUCUUUUAUUAUUAUUAUUUUGUUUUUUUCUCUACCUUGCACAAAACAGCAUCAAACCUGUCACCACCGACAGUAAGGUUCAGUGCUCUGUCAGCAUUCACCCCGAUGAAGACAGUGAGAGAAAUCCUAGCUCUGGAGAGUUCAGGAGAGAACUAGUGUGUUUGCAAAAGAGCAUUUUUAUAUGUUUUCUUGUGACAGCACUAGUUUAACAGAAAAUAGUUGGAGUGUGCCAAAAAAGGAAAAAAAAAAAAUGAAAGACAGUAGUAGUAAGUUAGGCUAGCAUGACAUGAUGGAUCUGAGCUAUGACAAACCGAAUUGGAAAAAAGCUUCCCUGGGGACCAACUAUACCAGGUUUGCUGAAUUGUAUUUCUUGAUUUCUUACUGUGCAACAGUGCUUUUUACUGUUAGAUUGACUAGGCUUCAGAAUAUUUUUAAAAUUGUACAAAUCAAAAUCCAUGUAGCUUAAAAAUGAAGGAUGUAAAAGGUUUAGGAGUUUGAUGUAUUGAAAGGCAUUCUGUAUUCCCUCAUGUGAGUAUUAAAUAUACACUUUGUCUGUUUAAUGAAUUUCAAAUCUUUGUGGAAGGCAGUACACACCAUAGCAGUUUACAGGGCUGAAAAUCCUGGGUGGAAAGAAGGACAUCAGCUGCAGAGAUUCAAAGCUUCUUCCUUCUUAUCCCACCCAGAUGUGCCCAAGAAUUAAAACAUGCAACAUCUACAGGAUCUCACUUGGUCCAAGAUGUUUCUAUAAAAUCCAAGAAAAGAAACUUUAAAUCUAGUGGCCUCUUAACAAAGGUGUGAUGCAUUGUUCUUAUUCCUUAUCCUUUUAAUUCUUACAUAGAGGUUCUCACACACACCUGAAGAUGAAGUUAAAAGAAAAAAAGUGAGGCAGAAGAUGAGAAAGGAGAAUUAUUUCAGCAGCCACUAAAUUUGUCUAGUUUGCAUAUCCCACAUGACACCAAAUAGUCUGAUUCUUGAAAAUAGUCAUCUAUAAUAAGCUUUGAAUAAAUACCUAAGUGAAUGGAACAUGUUAGAACUCAGAUGACUUUAGGUACUUGAGCUACUGAGGCAGAAACAAUUUUGGCCCCUAUGGUCAAAGAGUAGGAGUCCUGGUGGUGCAAUGGUUAAAACUCUCAGCUGUUAACCAAAAAGUUGGCGGUUUGAACCCACCAGCUGCUCUGUGGGAGAAAGAUGUGGUGGCAGUCUGCUUCUGUAAAGAUUUAUAGCCUUGGAAACCCUAUAGGGCAGUUCUACUCUGUUCUAUAAGGUCGCUUUGAGUCAAAAUUGACUUGAAGGCAGUGGGUUUAGUUUGGUUCAAAAAGUUUAUAAUCGAUUUGGAUAAUUUAGGAAAUUGUCAGAGUGCAAUGCAAUAUGUGCCAAGUGAUGACACUCAAAAAAAAAAAAGUAAAAAUGUACUUUUGCUAAAAGUAGAUAGCACCCUAUCUCUUGGGCUCAGUCAACACGGAUCCACGACUUCCCCAUCAACUAUUCACGGUCCAAAAGAAGGAGUAGAGGAAGUGGAUAGUGAAAACGAGUUGGUUGAAGUUUAAUAAAACAGAUCUUCAGAUCUUAGCAUUGAGGAAUGAGAGCUAAAUGAUAAGACACAGUGUCAGAAAACACUAAAGUGGGAGCUACAAACUACAGUCUUAAAUGUAAAGGAAUAAAGUGGUAUGGUUGAAGUACUGAGGAAAAUAGGAAGUGGCAAGGACAAUUGCAAACUAGAGUUUGUCCCACCUGAAAAAAAUGCAGCUGCUAUUCAGCUAUAGCCAAUUGAUGCAUGCAGGAAUAUGGGGGCAGUAUUGUAGUUAAGGGCUCAGCUGCUAACUCAAAGGUUGGUGGCUCAAACCCAUUAGCUACACCGUGGGGGAAGUUGUGGCAGUCUGCUUCCAUAAAGAUUUAUAGCCUCGGAAACCCUAUGGGGCAGCUCUACCCUGUCCUAUAAGGUUGGUAGGAGUCGGAAUCUACUCAUUGGCAAUGGGUUUUUUCGUUUGUUUAUUGCCAAAUCUUCUGGUUUUUCAAGAGAAACCAGAAAGUUCGGUUUUACCAUGAACUCGCUUCAUUUUAAAUAUUAGCAAACAAUUUAAAAAAUUUUACACAUUAUGUUGGCCAAAUAAAAUACACACAAGAGUUGUAUUUUGGUCCAUGUACUUUUUUUUUUUUUUAACCUUUUUUAGGCAUAAUGAGUUAGCAUGUAAUCAUGGAUACAGCGUAUAGAAGAAUCUUUGAGUUUGAGAACGUGGAAGAUAAACUGUUCGGGGUAAUUGUGAGUCAUACAGUUUUAGCAGUAGAUGCUAGAGUGUAGGGCUGAAGAAACAAAAGGUAUUAAGCAGUCAGGGAAAUGGGGGCUAUUAGAGAGGUAAUUAAAGUAGCUGGAUGUUAGCAGGUAACAAGGUAGAGAAGAAGAGCAUCAGCUAGUGUUGUUAUUAUCAUCAAGGAAUAUUGAAGGUUUGUGUGAGAGGCUUUGGAUGACAGAGAUAAGGAAGCACAUAAGAAGUCAUAAAGUUGUCAACAAGAUUAUCAAUGCAGUUACUUGUCAUGCAUGGUCUGGAAGUGGUACUGGGCUGGUCACAACAGACCCAAAGUCUAGGUAAGAAAAACUAGAGAAUUAUUAAAGAGAGCGAGGAAGAAGCUUCAAAUAAAUUUGGCCUUGAGAUUCUAACUGAUUUUCACUCAGUUUGAUGAUUUCUAUUUAAAAACAAAAUCAAUUGGUUAAUUGAAUUCAAUUCAUUCACAAUAAUUUAUUAAAAAUUUACUGUUGGUAAGGUAUUGGAUUAAAUAGUGGAAGCGUGUCUUGGGGGGCGGGAACAGAUAGGAAUGAAGAUAGAUGAGCUAUUCUGUCCUCCAAAAAAAAAAAGCCCAAACCGGUUGCCAUCAGGUCGAUUCCAACUCAUAGCAACCCUAUAAGACAGAGAAGAACUGCCCCAUAGAGUUUCAAAGGAGCACCUGAUGGAUUUGAACUGCCAACCUUUUGGUUAGCAGCCAUAGCUCUUAACCACUAUGCCACCAGGGUUUCCAUUCUGUCCUCUGGUGUUUAAAAUCCAAAGUAACACGCAGGCACACGCUCACUUUUUUUUUUUUGUUUUAAUGCUAAGUGCUAUGACAGAAGGGCUAAGAGUUUUCUAUGGUAGUUCAAAUUCAAAUUAUUGUUUUCAGAUCAUACAGAUUUAUUAUUUUUUAUCAUGUUAUAGUUUUUUCCCUAAUUCAAAAAUAUUACAAUGCAUCAUUAUGUAAGUUCCCUAGGGCUGCCAUAACAAAGUACCAUAAACUGGGUGACUUAAAACAGCAGAAAUUUAUUCCCUCACAGUUCUGGAGGCUAGGAGUCCAAAUUCAGAUUGUCAGCAGGGCCAUGCUCUAGCUGAAGGCUCUAGGGGAAGAGCCUUCCUUGUCUUUAUCAGCUUCCUGUAUAGGGUCUCUAGGAGUCAGAAUUGACUCAAUGGCAGCGGGUUGGGUUUGGUUUUGGUUUGAUAGCCCCAAGAGUGCCUUGGCUUAUGGCAGCAUAUAUCCAAUCUCUGUCUGUCUUCACACGGCCAUGUUCCCUCCCUGUCUGUCUGUAUCUCUUCUCCUUUUAUAAGGAACUAAUAAAUACAUUGGAUUAGGAAAUUUAUAUUGGAUUAGGGCCAACUCUACUCCAGCAUGACUCAUGUUAACUAAUUGCACCCACAGAGGGCCCUAUUUCCAAAUAGGUCACAUUCACAGCUACUAUGAGGAAUAUGUUAGGAAUUCAACAUCUCUUUUUGGGGAACACAAGUCACCCCAUAACAAUUAUUAUCUGAUGGGUUCUCAUCAGAUAUCCCCAGUUGCAAGCCAGUGGGAGCACCUGAGAAGAUGUCCUUUUCUUCCUCUCGCUUCCCUUGUCUCUUUUGCUAAGAUCUGGCUAAAGUAAGCACUCAGCAAAUGUGUGCUGAGUUCAAUGUUUUAAAUAGGCUGAACUGAUUUGAGUCCAAAUUGAUUACGUUUGAAACUUUCCCCCUCUGUGUCUACCCAUUUUAUCAUUGUCCUGCUUGGUUAAGAACACCAAAGCCUUCCACUCUUCUCCUGACUAAGGCUGGAGUUGAGACUAGCUCAAAAAAAGUAAAUUCUUGGUAAAAGACUCCAACAUCUUCAAAAGCUGUAUAUGGCUACUGGACAAUAUUUAACCAGUAAAUUCAGUUAAGUAGAUGGACUUGACACGUUUUACAAUUAUAGAAUAAAAGUAUUUUAGAAACUGGGAAGUUUGUAAACAUUUUUGGAAAGCUGUAACCACCUCUUACAGGAAUGUGCAUCUCUCAGUGGCGCUAAUUGACAGGUGCAGCCAAGAGCUCCCGAAUUAAUCUCAAUGAGUAUAAAUAAAGUUCGACUCUGCUGUCCUAUAAGCACAUGCCAUUCUCAUUUUGAGAUACAGAUGCUUGGGCUUUGCAAUGAUUUACCAAUUUCCUCACGCAUUUGGAGUGAGCACUAGCUUCAGUCCCAUAACUUAGUAUAUUGUAUAAGGGGAAAGUUAAGAUAAAUCUAAUUGCUUUUAUAUGAGUAUUUUUGCUGUUUUUAAAGUUAAGUUCCUUGUUUACCAAUGUAUUUUUCAAUAUGAAAUGCAGGAAUAUGCAAACAUUACUCAAUAAUUAGAUCCAUUUACACCUUGGACAAGGAAAUAAUAGGUAUGCCACCCCUAUUAUUCAUUCACUGUUGGAUUUGUAUCUCUUUGGUUUGGUUUUAUUUAUGUGUAAAUAUGCAUAGUUCAAAACUUGUUAGUAGCAACACUAAUAAUGUCAUUUAUAUGCUUCACCUUGUCCAUUUAAAAUGGAUUGUUCUAUUUAUAGAGUAACAUCCUGUAAAAUUAAAUUAAAAAUUUUAAUAGAAACUCAUAGUCCUUUUAAAAAUUAUUACAAUAGAAAGAGGGUGAUUUUUUUCCACAAAUUAUUCCCAAAGCAACUUUUUAAAAAUCCUUGUUAGUUAUAAAACUUUAAAAUAGUCUUAUUGAUCCUUUAAAAUAAUUAUUUAUGUAAAAUAAUUUAUGGUAGAGUUUUUAAUACUUGAAAAUAUAUUCUUAAAAUAGGAAUGUUACAAGACCAUUAAUUUUAGCAGUGCUAGGCAGCACAACUAUAAUUUAGGAGCUACUGUUGAUUGUUUCCAGAAAUAUAUAUUGACCCCAUUAGUUUUAAGUGAUAAUAUUAUUAAGCCAAAGUAUUAAUCCAACAGUAGCAGAAUUACUGAUUUUAAUCAGUUUUUCCCUUUAAACCCUUUCUUUAGCAUUUGGGUUUUAUUUAGCUUAUCAUACAUAUAAAUCUUUAAAUCAAUUAUCUUAGAACUCGCGUUCUUAAACUUAUCACAUAGCAAAUGCCCAUGGAAGCUCUGGUGCCUACUGUCUUUUGUUUGUUAUAGUCACUUUGUUGUGUAUUUUGGGCCUGAUGGUAUUGAUGCCACUCUCGGACAUUGUCUCAUUCAUCAAAUGGUCACCCAGAGAAGGUGAGGUCCAGAGAAGCCUCCUGGCCAGGAAAUCAUCCAUUAAAUCAUUUAUUCAUCAAGAAAUGUUCUCAAGAAGAGGAAGUAAUUAACAACAAUAGCAGCUAACAUUUAUUGGGUCCUCAUUAUGUGCCACGUAUGGUUCUAAACCCUUCACAUGUAUUCACCUAUUUAAUCCUUACAACAAAUCUAUGAAAAUGGUUUUGUGAAGCCUCUUAGCUGCAUUUGUAACUGUUACAUAUUUAGACAUAUGGCAUGUACAUCUCCACUUACAUUCUUGUCUUGAGCCCCAUAAAUGUUAGGAGUAGGCCUGAUGGAGGCCACCCCCACACAAAUCUAUUUUGUACCAACAAGAGUCUCAUUUGUAUUCAUUUUGGCAGGGGUUAGAUUCAACACUGAUUCUAGAGUUUUAAAGCACCUCAGUGCAUUAAAGACGUCAGGCUUCGUUGCUGAUGGAUAUACUCCAAUAAGCACCUGGCGAAAGGCAGAGGGUGUAAGUUUCUCGGUAUGAUUCAAGGCUCUGAGUGGACUAAAAGUAAUUUAUAUGUUGCAAAUAUUAAGGAUAAAAGGAUAAUGUGAUGGGGUGUUCAUAUUCGGAUCCAGGUUUGGGGAUUUUUUGAUGAAAGUUGCUUAACAACAACAAAAAAAUGUAUACAUAAAAUUAGAGAUAACUGCGAUAUCAAGAAUACAUAUUUGGAGACACACGCAUACACACAGGGAAACUGAGGCACAGGGACAUGUGUAAAUCCCCCAAAUCCACAUGGCAAACGUCAAUUGGAAUCAGUAUUCAAUUCUAGGCAGCUAUUUCAUCUCUCAUGAAAGAUUAAAAAAUACCACUUGAGAAGAAAGGGGAAAAACAGGGUGGGGGUAUGGGGUUGGAGAUCAUUUUCUUCCUGAAAGAAACUUCCUCUCACUAGACUUGGCUUAGAUACACAGUUUGUAUCUCUUUAAUUCAAAGCCCCUGAUUGUUUCCUUAUAGGAUGUUCCUACUUGUCCAUGUUUUGUGGCUCAGGAGAGGGAAGUACUGAAAAAUGACCUCUAAUAUCAAGGAAUUUAGACACUGUUGAGGAGAAAAGAGAUUCGAAAAGGAUAGAAAAGGGCAGUCAUUAUUAAAGGGCAACUAGAAGGUAGGGAAGAAGAUUUCAAGGAAGGGUGGAAUCAUUACAUGAAGAACUAUCUAGAUACAGUUCAGGAGCCAUGUGAAGCUUUAGCUGGUCCUUAAAAAAAAAAAAUCGGCAGGAUUUCGUGAGUGGAGAGGAGGUCCAGAGGAUUUCAGAGGAGGAGAAUAACGGGAGAAAGGAUUCAGGUGGAUAGAGACAGUAUUUGUAGCAGCAUGGCUGCAAUAGAAGGCAAUUUUGGGAAUUAGUGAGAGUUGUGCCAUUAUCCGUUUUUAUUUUAGAACUUAUUUUUGCAUAGAUUUUUAAUUCUAUGUAACCAUCUGGUAAGGCCUGGCACUCUAUGAUUUGUUGCAGUAGUAGUGUUUAUCUAAGGAGCUACGUAUGUCGGCACAGGAAAAUGAAUGCUGGGUUCUGGGAACAAAGGCUGGAAAGGGAUUUCCAAACAACUGCCGCCUUCUACUCGUUUCAACAAGUGUGUGCAUUAAGGAGUGCGCGUCGUUGCCACCACCACAUUUCUGGGCCCCUGGGGCUUGUCAAAGAGGACUUAACCAACACCUCAGUGUUCAGUCCCUCCUGCUUCGAACUACCUUUGUAGUAACUGACCAGCCUUAAGCACCUAUAUCACUUCUCAUCUCUGCUCUCUCAUGCAGAGAACACUUCAUCCCUCCUUCAAAUCAAGGGAUGAGCCCCUGGAGGACAUCGAGUGAGUUCUGAAUUCUCUGGGGAACCACCUCUGACCAUUACUGUUCUUCUUUGUCAAUCACAGAGCACUCCCAGUGACAUCAUUGCUGUUUUCUGUAUUAUGUUGUUGCUGUAAGCAGCAUGAAAUUGACAAGGAAUGGCACAGAGAAGAGCUGAAAGGGCACUUCUGCUUUUUUGAUGCAUCUGACACCUGUAGUUACAAGACAGAAAACAGCUUUCAUAAGCAUAUUGCUGGGUGAUGUAGAAGGUGAAUGAUUAUUUAGAAGUAGCUUUUCAAUGCAAUCGCACGAUAGACUCUAAACUGCUUCUGCGUCCUUCCACCCGAAGAGUAGUUUCCUAAGUAGAAGCAAUCUGGUGGGGUAGUUUCCCAGAAGGCUUUGGCUAAGGAGUUAGGCUUCAGUGCAAACCUCAGAACUGCUUUGGUCUAAGGAGAUGGGGGUCUCGCUCUCUUUGAUUUCAAUAGAAUAUGCCUUUUGUUCUUAACUUCUUUGCUUGCUUGUGUUUCUCCUAUUUGGAUAAUUAUGUUAUAGAUAGAAAAGCUAGUGUCCAAAGUGAAAAAGAAAAAGAUAUCCUGAUGUCUUCUUGGGGAGCCUCUCCUAAGAGUGUCCCAAUAAAUAUGCCUAAAUUCAAUUUAUUAUUACUAUUGUUACAAUAAUGGUAACUCUAACAGGUAAGCAAUAGCAAAUGAGGGGAGUUAACCCCUAAUAAAGUUAGUUAUAUUGAUAACUGCGGUAGUUUUAACACUCAGUUUACAGGCUACAAAAUUGACGACUGAUCACACUGAGAGAUGACAAGUUUCCACACCAUUGAUAGAGCACUGACCCUGAGCAAUCAUACUGAGUCUACAGUAUUCAGUAGUUGAACAUGGUUAACUCUAAAUCGCCACCUUUCUGGAGCAGCCCACAGUGUGGACUCCUUCUUGAUACCUCUCUUCCGAGUGGCUUUUGUGACACUGUCAUUCCGAUCUUUCUCCUGCUGUCCUAUCCGUGAUUUCCCCCUUUUCUUUGUGUUCUCCUUUACCCCUUUAUGCUUGAAAGAACAUUUUUGUCUUUAGCAGCAACGGGGAGCAUUUUCAGGUGACAUUAGUGACUGUCUCUCUCACCAGUACAUCCUUCUGUUUCAGCUUGUUACGGUGAAUUUAAGUUGCAUAGUGAGAAAAACCAUCAUCAGCUUUGCUUACAAGAUAGAAAUAUGAAACAGAAAGAGAAAUGUCCCCCUGUAAUUAUUCACGUAUCUCUUGCACAGUGGCAACUAAGAAAAAUACAGCUUAUGUACCCCAAGGUAGUCCAAAUAUUCAGCAGAGAGCUGGAUUAUUUCACCUACAUCCAGUGAAGUAAUAAUCACAAGGAGUCCCUGAGUGGUGCAAUCAGCACACUCGGCUUCUAACCAAAAGUUUUGGUGUUUGAGUCUACCCAGACAUGCCUCAGAAGAAGGGCCUGGCAAUCUACUUCUGAAAAAUCAGUCAUCGAAAACUGUAUGGAGUACAGUUCUACUCUGACACGCAUGGAGUCAUCAGGAGUUGAAGUUGACUGAUGGGCAACUGGUUUAAUAAUAACAAAUACAAACAACAUCCACAACAAAACAGUAUUACUGAGGACAUAUUAGGUGCCAAGUACUAGGCUACGCAUUUUGCAGACAAUAUCUCAUUUAACCCUAGCCAACAAAUUGACUAUAUUCAGUUGUGAUCUUUCCUUGAUAUAUGAGAAAACGGAGAACUAAUUGUCUAAAAUCAUUCAACUAAUAAUGAUACAGGGAAUUCUAUUAUUUCCCACAGAAGCCCUGCAUUUUAGAUUGGUUUCUCUUGGCAUUGUCUCUCAUAUAGUACAUUCUUGUUUCUGCCUUUUGUUCAGGCCAUUCCUCUGCAUUCUUACAUUCUUUUGUAGAUUGACCUUUGUAAUUCUUAAAUUACAUUAUGCUGGCUUCAUAGGUAUCGUUCUCUCCAAUGGGGGUCCCUUACUCAUCUUGCUAUUCCCUGGCACAUACUGGGUUACCAGUUGCUCAAAAAAAAUCAAAGGUAAUUAGAUUUGAUGUGUUCUCUCUUACUGCCCUUCUGGCUCUAGAUCAUGUCCAGUCCUCAGGUACCUCAUCCACAGGUGUAUUGCUGUGAAGACUCUGGGACUUCAGUCACAGAAUUUCCAUGGGGAAGAAUUAGAAAAAGGUACUGCUAGGAUUACACCUCAAAUGAGCAUAAUUCCUAGUUAGCAUCUUAAAAUACUAAAACUGUGUAUUAUCCUCUUAGUGCACCACGGUAUUGACAGCUCUUUGUUUUACCUUAUCAUUAUAACAUCAUCUCUGAGAAUUUCCACUUAUAUCAUUACAAGAUGAGUAUGACAGCUUCACUAAGCCUCAUUCAUGUGAAUGGAAAAUUAGUGACAUAAAGAAAAUUCCUAAUAAUUAUUUCCCAAGACAUAUUGGGACUUUUCAAACUUAAACUCAUUAAACCAAUUUGAAUCUCACUACAGCAAAUUCACAAAAGCUGAGUGUUCUUAUUAAUAUGUCAGCCUAUGCUACUUUUAGGCAAAGAUUAAAUCAGAAAAUAUAUUCGUAAAAUCCACAUGCCUCAUUAUUUAUAUGGCAAUAGUGCAUAUGGAUCUAAACACUUGGGAAGUAAUUAUCAAAAUAACUCAUAUAGUAAACUAAAUUAUCAAAAUAAUUUAAAUAGUAAACCACACACCAUGCUAGGUGUUUUACAGUCAUAAUCUUAGUCAGCAAGCACAACUGCCCCAGGAGAAUUUUUGUCCCCAUUUUACAGGUUUGGUAAUUGAGUGACCAAGAUGUUAAGUAAUUUACCCAGGGUCACACAAUUAGUAUGUGGCAAGAACCUUUUUGGGACACACUUCUGAUUGACUCUAAAAUCCUUGUUAUUUUAACUUUGCCACAAUGCUGUGUUAAUUCACAAUUCCAGUACUGGGUCUGUCCUUCUACCUUUUUUUUUUUUUUUUU